UUACGGCCAAAUCACAUUGAAACACCAGUUCCUUUACGAUCACCGAAGUUAAGCAACGUCGAGCCUGGACAGUACCUAAAUGGGUGACCGCUUGGGAAUACGAAGUGUCGCAA
rnacentral:rRNA from 1 species